GGCGCAGCUGUGAGAGUUCGUCCUCCAGCUGUGUAAGUGUGCCCUGAAGACGCUCAAUCUCAAGCGUGUACUUCUGAUUCGUCUCUCCGAGGUUCCCCUCAAGAACACCAACCUGAGCAAAACAAAGAAAUUCAUACAGGUUUAAAACUACUUGAGGAAGGCAUUUGUUAACCCACUGGAGUUGUAUGGAUUACUUUUAUGAUGGAUGGAUGCGCUUUUUUGGAGCUUCAAAAACUCGGGCACUAUUCAAUGCCAUUACAAAUCUGGGAAGUGUCAGGAGGAUAUUAUUUAAUAUAACUCUGAUUGUGUUUGGCUGAAAGAAGAAAGUCAUAUACACCUAGGAUGGCUUGAGGAAUGCAGCAGUGAGGAUAAAUGCUCAUUCAUAUCACCUGUUUGCGCAGACUGUCCAGUUCCACCUCUAACGCCUGCAGGAAGCGUCGUCUUUCAUUGAGUUCACUUUGAGCACAUCGCAGAGCCUCGUUACUCUCCUUCACCUCCG